CCAACCCCCCCGGGAGCGGGAGGAGCUGUCGCUCUGUCCCCCCCCAGGAGGGCCCGUCACCCGGGCCUGGGAACAUCUGCCCUCUAGUCCGGGCGGGUGGCAAGCUGGGAUGUGUCUCAUGUCGUGAGGGGAAGCACAGGGAUGCUCGGCAGGGAAAAGCCCAUCCGGAGUGUGUUUUGGAAGGUGGAUGAUGAGGAGGAGGAGAAGAUGGGACAUGAAGUUGUGAUGGCCUCCUCUCGCCCCUGCCCUGCACCUGGAGCCUGGCAAAGCAUGGAAAGAAAAGUGCCAUCAGUGCAAGGGCAGUCAAAUGCGUUGUUCACCCAUCGGAGGUGCCACAGGUAGGAAUGGGCAAUGGAGAAGGCAGAUGUAAGGCACCAGGAGCUGCUCCUGGCACGUCCCAGUCUGCUCUUCUGCAUCUCCUGGAGGAGCACAUCCCUACACACAGGAAUAUCUUUAUCAUUCCUUAAACAGGGUAAGGGCCCAUUGUAGAAGCAUGUCCAACCGCCGCCAGGCAGGCGCUGCUCUGGCAAACCACCAGCUCUGGGCUGCCUGCUUCGUAGCCUUCUUUCUCCUAACCUUAUUUUCUUUCCCCAGAGCUGUCCAUCUGUCUUCAGCUUUUCCUAAAAAAAUAAAACAUUCCUUUUCAUUCCA